UCCUGUCGUCUGUGGAAAGAUUGCUGGAGCCAGAGGCCAGGAAGAAGUUCAUGAGCCCCAGAGGAAAAGCAAGGAUUUCCAGUUCUACUCUGACCCUGACCACAGCUGGGCACCAGCUUCAGAUCUAGGCACAUACCCUUACUGAGAGGACUGUGGCCAGGUUGAUGAGGCAGUGGACAUGGAGUCCAGGCAGCGCCAAGUAAAGGGGCCCAGACUUCCAGCAGCUGUGACUGAGGAGAGCUGAUGACAUGCAAUUAGAAAGAGAAGGCCACAAGGCUUCUGCUGGUCUCCAUGAUACCUUCAUGUGAAUUAGAAGACGCAGCCCUAUACCAGGAGGGCGGCUGUGAGAGUCAAAUCAGGAACGGAAUAGGAGAAACCUUGCAAACCAGAAGGACCCUGGCAGUGAAUUCACCGCAGGACAUUUAAUCAGGCACCCUGCAGAAAUGACGUCGUUCAUUCUUCCCUGCUGUGUUUUCCUGGACAGACGAGGAAAGGAGGCUUG